AUACGUAGGGUGCAAGCGUUAAUCGGAAUUACUGGGCGUAAAGCGUGCGCAGGCGGUUUUGUAAGACAGAGGUGAAAUCCCCGGGCUCAACCUGGGAACUGCCAUCGUGACUGCAAGGCUGGAGUGCGGCAGAGGGGGAUGGAAUUCCGCGGGUAGCAGUGAAAUGCGUAGAUAUGCGGAGGAACACCGAUGGCGAAGGCAAUCCCCUGGGCCUGCACUGACGCUCAUGCACGAAAGCGUGGGGAGCAAACAGGAUUAGAUACCCUGGUAGUCCACGCCCUAAACGAUGUCAACUGGUUGUUGGGGAUUUAUUUUCUCAGUAACGAAGCUAACGCGUGAAGUUGACCGCCUGGGGAGUACGGCCGCAAGGUUAAAACUCAAAUGAAUUGACGGGG
rnacentral:rRNA from 1 species